UAGUGGCGAACGGGUGAGUAACACGUGGGCAAUCUGCCCUGCACUCUGGGACAAGCCCUGGAAACGGGGUCUAAUACCGGAUAAUACUUUCUCCUGCAUGGGGGAGGGUUAAAAGCUCCGGCGGUGCAGGAUGAGCCCGCGGCCUAUCAGCUUGUUGGUGGGGUGAUGGCCUACCAAGGCGACGACGGGUAGCCGGCCUGAGAGGGCGACCGGCCACACUGGGACUGAGACACGGCCCAGACUCCUACGGGAGGCAGCAGUGGGGAAUAUUGCACAAUGGGCGAAAGCCUGAUGCAGCGACGCCGCGUGAGGGAUGACGGCCUUCGGGUUGUAAACCUCUUUCAGCAGGGAAGAAGCGAGAGUGACGGUACCUGCAGAAGAAGCGCCGGCUAACUACGUGCCAGCAGCCGCGGUAAUACGUAGGGCGCAAGCGUUGUCCGGAAUUAUUGGGCGUAAAGAGCUCGUAGGCGGUUUGUCACGUCGGNAUGUGAAAACCCCNGGGCUUNAACCCCGGGUCUGCAUUCGAUACGGGCAGACUANAGUGUGGNAGGGGAGAUCGGAAUUCCU
rnacentral:rRNA from 1 species